rnacentral:rRNA from 1 species
UACGUAGGGUGCGAGCGUUGUCCGGAAUUAUUGGGCGUAAAGAGCUCGUAGGCGGCUUGUCGCGUCGUCCGUGAAAACCUGCAGCUUAACUGUGGGCGUGCGGUCGAUACGGGCAUCACUGGAGUUCGGCAGGGGAGACUGGAAUUCCCGGUGUAGUGGUGAAAUGCGUAGAGAUCGGGAGGAACACCAGUGGCGAAGGCGGCUUGCUGGGCCGGACCUGGACGCUGAG